rnacentral:misc_RNA from 1 species
AUUUGCUAGUAGCAUGAAUAUGUUAGAUAAAAAUUGAAGGAAAAAUUCUAGCAAUAUUUUGUUAUAAAUUUAUAAACUCUCUCUCUAAAUUUACAUGAGUUCUUACACCUAUUUAUAGAGCUGAUAUUAAAUACUGAACGGGAAUAUUAACUAAUCCUACACACGAAAAGACAAUGAAACUAGAUAGGAGUUGAUGUAAAUCCUAAACAAGAAAAUGCUAAAG